GACGAACGCUGGCGGCGUGCUUAACACAUGCAAGUCGAACGGAAAGGCCUCUUUCGGGGGGUACUCGAGUGGCGAACGGGUGAGUAACACGUGAGUAACCUGCCCUUGACUUUGGGAUAACUUCAGGAAACUGGGGCUAAUACCGGAUAGGAGCUCCUGCUGCAUGGUGGGGGUUGGAAAGUUUCGGCGGUUGGGGAUGGACUCGCGGCUUAUCAGCUUGUUGGUGGGGUAGUGGCUUACCAAGGCUUUGACGGGUAGCCGGCCUGAGAGGGUGACCGGCCACAUUGGGACUGAGAUACGGCCCAGACUCCUACGGGCGGCAGCAGUGGGGAAUAUUGCACAAUGGGUGGAAGCCUGAUCCAGCAACGCCCUGUGCGGGAUGACGGCCUUCGGGUUGUAAACCGCUUUCGCUCAUGACGAAGCUUUGUGUGACGGUAGUGGGUAAAGAAGCACCGGCUAACUACGUG
rnacentral:rRNA from 1 species